rnacentral:rRNA from 1 species
AUUCCAGCUCCAAUAGCGUAUAUUUAAGUUGUUGCAGUUAAAAAGCUCGUAGUUGGAUCUUGGGUCGUAAGGGUCGGUCCGCCUACUCGGUGUGCACCUGCCCUUCCGUCCCUUUUGUCGGCGGCGUGCUCCUGGCCUUAAUUGGCUGGGUCGCGGUUCCGGCGCUGUUACUUUGAAAAAAUUAGAGUGCUCAAAGCAAGCUUAUGCUCUAAACACAUUAGCAUGGAAUAACGUGAUGGGAGUCUGGUCCUAUUGUGUUGGCCUUCGGGACCGGAGUAAUGAUUAAUAGGGACUGUCGGGGGCAUUCGUAUUUCAUUGUCAGAGGUGAAAUUCUUGGAUUUAUGAAAGACGGACCACUGCGAAAGCAUUUGCCAAGGAUGUUUUCAUCA